rnacentral:rRNA from 1 species
CCCUAGGGGUGCAGCAGUCGCGAAAACUCCGCAAUGCGCGAAAGCGUGACGGGGCUACCCCGAGUGCCGUCCGCUGAGGAUGGCUUUUCCCCGGUGUAAUGAGCCGGGGGAAUAAGGAGAGGGCAAGUCUGGUGUCAGCCGCCGCGGUAAUACCAGCUCUCCGAGUGGUAGGGAUGAUUAUUGGGCCUAAAGCGUCCGUAGCCGGCUUAGCAAGUCUCCUGUUAAAUUCAGCGACCUAAUCGUUGAGCCGCGGGAGACACUACUAGGCUAGGAGGCGGGAGAGGCCGACGGUAUUCUCGGGGUAGGGGUGAAAUCCUAUAAUCCCGGGAGGACCACCAGUGGCGAAGGCUGUCGGCUAGAACGCGCUCGACGGUGAGGGACGAAAGCUGGGGGAGCGAACCGGAUUAGAUACCCGGGUAGUCCCAGCUGUAAACGAUGCGGGCUAGGUGUUGGGGUGGCUACGAGCCACUUCAGUGCCGCAGGGAAGCCGUUAAGCCCGCCGCCUGGGGAGUACGGCCGCAAGGCUGAAACUUAAAGGAAUUGGCGGGGGAGCACCACAAGGCGUGAAGCUUGCGGUUCAAUUGGAGUCAACGCCGGGAACCUUACCGGAGGCGACAGCAGGAUGAAGGCCAGAUUGAAGGUCUUGCUAGACAAGCUGAGAAGAGGUGCAUGGCC